GACGAACGCUGGCGGCGUGCCUAAUACAUGCAAGUCGAGCGGAUCUCUGAUGGAGCUUGCUCCUGAUGAGGUUAGCGGCGGACGGGUGAGUAACACGUAGGCAACCUGCCUGUAAGACCGGGAUAACAUUCGGAAACGAAUGCUAAGACCGGAUACGCAGUUUCCUCGCAUGAGGGAAUUGGGAAACACGGAGCAAUCUGUGGCUUACGGAUGGGCCUGCGGCGCAUUAGCUAGGUGGUGGGGUAACGGCUCAACAAGGCGACGAUGCGUAGCCGACCUGAGAGGGUGAACGGCCACACUGGGACUGAGACACGGCCCAGACUCCUACGGGAGGCAGCAGUAGGGAAUCUUCCACAAUGGGCGCAAGCCUGAUGGAGCAACGCCGCGUGAGUGAGGAAGGCUUUCGGGUCGUAAAGCUCUGUUGCCAGGGAAGAACGCCUAGGAGAGUAACUGCUCCUGGGGUGACGGUACCUGAGAAGAAAGCCCCGGCUAACUACGUGCCAGCCGCCGCGGUAAAAC
rnacentral:rRNA from 1 species